GAUGAAGAACGUAGCGAAAUGCGAUACGUAAUGUGAAUUGCAGAAUUCAGUGAAUCAUCGAAUCUUUGAACGCACAUUGCACUCUCUGGUAUUCCGGAGAGUAUGCUUGUUUGAGUAUCUGUAAACAUCUCAAAUCUCUCUUCAAUUGCUUCAAUUGGGUCGAGAGAAUUGGAUUUGAGCGAUCCCGACUCCUUCGUCAGAAAGAGGAGGGUCGCUUGAAAUGCAGGUGCAGCUGGACAUUCUUCUGAGCAAAAAGCAUAUCUAUUUAGUCCCGUCAAACGGAUUAUUACUUUUGCUUCAGCUAAUAUAAAGGUUGAAUGAACUACCAACGCUGAUUGCAGGAAAACAUGUUCGUUUAUUCGGACUUGUAAACUCGAUCUCAAAUCAAGUAAGACUACCCGCUGAACUUAAGCAUAUCAAUAGCGGAGG
rnacentral:misc_RNA from 1 species